UAAAAAGUUUGUGUAAUUUGUUAUUUUUAGGUUUAUGUUCCUUUUGCAUCAUGAUUAAAAGAAAAAUAUUAGUUUAUCUCUUUUAACCGAAAGCUAAGGAUCUUGAUAUUUACUGAUAAAGAUUUUGUUUAUUAGGCUGAUCCCGGGUAGGGUCAGUGAGAUAUUUAUUAUGUUUUGAUAAAUUAGUCGUCUUAGCUUAUAUCUGUUUAUUGACUUUUUAUUUAUUAUUAUCCCCCCAGCGAGGAGGUUGGGGCGACGUACAUACUCUACUUUAUAAGUGCUAUGGUAAGGUUAAAAUUACCUUUCUAUGAGGAGUUUAUUACAAAUCUUAUAAUAUUGUAAGGAGUUGUGUAUAUUAAGAGUCAUUCAAUGCUUAAUAAUUUGUAAUUGGUAUAUUUUUAAAUAAGUAAUAUUAAUUUCUUGUUAUUGUUUCUCAAAACUUGCCCGUCUGUUUAUUAAAAACAUUUCUAUAUUUAAUGUUGUAUAGUAGUGCCUGCUCUAUGUAUCUUAUAAAUGGCCGCAGUAUAUUGACUGUGCGAAGGUAGCAUAAUUAAUUGCCUUAUAAUUGAGGGCUUGUCUGAAUGGUUUGACGAGGUAAGGAAAAACAUUAGCGGUUUUGUUGAAAUUACUGAAGAUGGCACAGAAGCCUCUUUGUUUAAUUAGACGGAAAGACCCCGGGAUCUUUUAUUUUUGCUUGGGGCAAGUUAGAGUAUUUUACUUUUAUUAGGACCCUUUUGGUUUAAUGAGUUAAGUUACCCCGGGGAUAACAGUGUAAUAGCUUAUUAGAGAUCUUAUCGAUUAAGUUGUUUGUUACCUCGAUGUUGACUUAGGUUUAUGCCCCAGGCGCAGUAGUUUGGGGAUUAGGUCUGUUCGACCCUGUAACCUCCAUGAGUUGAGUUAAGACCGGCGUGAGCCAGGUCGGUUCUUAUCUAUUGUUGUGGCUUGUUAGUACGAAAGGAUUGCAAGCCGUUUUUUU
rnacentral:rRNA from 1 species